rnacentral:lncRNA from 1 species
CGGAGAUUUAGUUCUAGAUAAUGAUUAUAUUUAGCAUGAAGCGUGAAGAGCUCACAGCCAUUAAAUGAUCAAUGUUAAAUUAUGAAUUGGUCCUAUCCAAAACCGGAAAUAUCAAAGGAAUGUGCUCCAUUUUACGGGUCAUCAUAACUUCGAGUACAUCUAGCCCCAUUGUGUGCGGGUUGCAUUUCGUGUGUGUUCGAAUUGUGAAUGAUUCACACGGCAGGCAAGUUCUCAUAUUGUUCAAGAACAAAGACAGCAGCAAUGGCGAUUGGCCGGUUGUGGGUUGAAGUUCGCCGGCGCGGCGGCUAUUGAACUCCGCUCGGAACUUGACCAGGUGCCCGUUUGGCGGAGUAUUAUUUUUUAUAGAAAUUGAACCCAAUGCAAAUGGGUGGCUGGCUAAUUAAUUCAUUAGCGAUUGGCACAUAAAAAUUGCCAUAUCUG